AAAUUGAAGAGUUUGAUCAUGGCUCAGAUUGAACGCUGGCGGCAGGCCUAACACAUGCAAGUCGAGCGGUAGCACAGAGAGCUUGCUCUCGGGUGACGAGCGGCGGACGGGUGAGUAAUGUCUGGGAAACUGCCUGAUGGAGGGGAUAACUACUGGAAACGGUAGCUAAUACCGCAUAACGUCGCAAGACCAAAGUGGGGACCUUCGGGCCUCAUGCCAUCAGAUGUGCCCAGAUGGGAUUAGCUAGUAGGUGGGGUAACGGCUCACCUAGGCGACGAUCCUAGCUGGUCUGAGAGGAUGACCAGCCACACUGGAACUGAGACACGGUCCAGACUCCUACGGGAGGCAGCAGUGGGGAAUAUUGCACAAUGGGCGCAAGCCUGAUGCAGCCAUGCCGCGUGUGUGAAGAAGGCCUUCGGGUUGUAAAGCACUUUCAGCGGGGAGGAAGGCGUUAAGGUUAAUAACCUUGGCGAUUGACGUUACCCGCAGAAGAAGCACCGGCUAACUCCGUGCCAGCAGCCGCGGUAAUACGGAGGGUGCAAGCGUUAAUCGGAAUUACUGGGCGUAAAGCGCACGCAGGCGGUCUGUCAAGUCGGAUGUGAAAUCCCCGGGCUCAACCUGGGAACUGCAUUCGAAACUGGCAGGCUAGAGUCUUGUAGAGGGGUAGAAUUCCGGUGUAGCGGUGAAAUGCGUAGAGAUCUGGAGGAAUACCGGUGGCGAAGGCGGCCCCUGGACAAAGACUGACGCUCAGGUGCGAAAGCGUGGGGAGCAAACAGGAUUAGAUACCCUGGUAGUCCACGCCGUAAACGAUGUCGAUUUGGAGGUUGUGCCCUUGAGGCGUGGCUUCCGGAGCUAACGCGUUAAAUCGACCGCCUGGGGAGUACGGCCGCAAGGUUAAAACUCAAAUGAAUUGACGGGGCCCGCACAAGCGGUGGAGCAUGUGGUUUAAUUCGAUGCAACGCGAAGAACCUUACCUGGUCUUGACAUCCACAGAACUUUCCAGAGAUGGAUUGGUGCCUUCGGGAACUGUGAGACAGGUGCUGCAUGGCUGUCGUCAGCUCGUGUUGUGAAAUGUUGGGUUAAGUCCCGCAACGAGCGCAACCCUUAUCCUUUGUUGCCAGCGGUUAGGCCGGGAACUCAAAGGAGACUGCCAGUGAUAAACUGGAGGAAGGUGGGGAUGACGUCAAGUCAUCAUGGCCCUUACGACCAGGGCUACACACGUGCUACAAUGGCAUAUACAAAGAGAAGCGACCUCGCGAGAGCAAGCGGACCUCAUAAAGUAUGUCGUAGUCCGGAUUGGAGUCUGCAACUCGACUCCAUGAAGUCGGAAUCGCUAGUAAUCGUAGAUCAGAAUGCUACGGUGAAUACGUUCCCGGGCCUUGUACACACCGCCCGUCACACCAUGGGAGUGGGUUGCAAAAGAAGUAGGUAGCUUAACCUUCGGGAGGGCGCUUACCACUUUGUGAUUCAUGACUGGGGUGAAGUCGUAACAAGGUAACCGUAGGGAACCUGCGGUUGGAUCACCUCCUUA
rnacentral:rRNA from 1 species